GCUGGAGGUCGUGUUAUUGAUAAGUAUCGUGCUUCUUUAGCUCCUGCAACAGUAGAAAUGCUGAUGUGUGGUGGAGAUUGGUGUCGAAAACGACAUGGAGUGACUAAAAAGACUAAGGUUGAAAAACAACUUUUGACAAUUGAUUUGCCCAUAGAUUAAAUGAAUCAUUUUAGGUUGAAAUUUGAAAAAUCAGUCAUGCCACUAAGAUUGAAGAGGUGGAAGUAUCAAACUUUUUAUUUUAUGAAGCUUUUGUAUAUCUUGCUGGAUUGAAAUUGUUGGUAGCUGAACUGGGAAGGGAUAGAAGUACGAACUGUCAG